AAUAAACCAAGAAAGUUAACAAUAAUACUAACUGUAAAAUAAAAAUAAAUUAAAUAUAAUAAUUUGAAUAAUACUUGUAAACAGUAUCACGCAUUAGUCGGGUUACAAUUUGAAUAUUCGUCUCUCUGUAAUUUGAAAUUAUGAAGAGAGGGAACUUAUUAAAUAAGAGGCGCUAGAUGAGCGUGAACAUUUUGUAAUAUUCAAUUUCAUUAAAAGCGUUAAAAGAACUUUAAAUAAUAAAAGGUGAAAGAAUUAAUAGUGUGAUAUAUGGGACAACAUAUAUACAAGGCUUGCAGUUAAGUGUAAUCCAUUAUACUUUAAUAUAAAGGUUGCUGCACUCAUUUAGGUUAUUUUUUUUUAGAUUGUGUUCAAUUAACAUACAAUGGAAUUAGAUAUGAAAAGUUCAUGGAUAGAAUUGACAGAUGAAGAUGAUGCUCUUCUAAAUGAAGCCAUUUGUAUGAGUUCAAAUGAAUUGAGUAAAAUAGUAAACUCCGAUAAGGAGACCAAAAAUACUCAGGAGUCUUUAGAUAUAAUAAUACCUGAACCUAAAACCUAUGUUAAUAAAGAUGAAAAGGAUAAAGAAGAUGUUACUUCAAAUGUAUGUGUAAAUAACAGGUCUUACUGUAAAGAAAUUGAAACAAAAAGUAUAAAUGGCAUACAGUAUGAAGAUAAUGUAAAGAAUAAGUUAGAAGACUUAAAUAAUCUUCGUAAAAGACCUAGAGAAGGUACUACAAAUUAUGAGGAUGUAAAAGUUUUUCGUACCAGAUACUAUAGUGAUUCAAGUUCUACCACUAAUUCCUCAGAUUGUGGUAAAAAACAAGUAGAAUAUGAAACUGAUCCUAAAGUCUUAGCUCGUAGACAGAAAGAAAUAGAUUAUGGGAAAAAUACCAUUGGAUAUGAUAAAUACAUUCAGGCUGUGCCUAAAGAAAAACGUACUAAAGAGCAUCCAAAAACACCACCAAAGUACAUUAAAUAUAGUAGAAGAGGAUGGGAUGGCAUGAUGAGGUUGUGGAGGAAACAACUUCAUCAGUGGGAUCCUCCACAAGACAACAGUCCCAAUUAGAUGAAAGUUGUAUGAAUGUUAUAUUACAAUGCACAUGAUGUGGAUGACUGAACAGCAUUGGUGAUAUUGUUCCCUUCAUUAUUUAAGGUUCUUCACAUAAAGGAGCCACAGUGAAGGCAUCAUGAAAUUGUUUAUUAUUACUGAUAUGCCAGUUACACGAAAUUUGUAGAAAAUCCUUAUUUAACAACAAAGAAUUGUCAUUUUGCCCAUUGUUUGUAACUUCCAUUGCAUACAACAGAUUCGUGUAAUGAAUCAAUAAAUACUAUUUCAUUCUUAUCAUUUU